rnacentral:rRNA from 1 species
CCUACGGGAGGCAGCAGUGGGGAAUAUUGCACAAUGGGGGAAACCCUGAUGCAGCGACGCCGCGUGAGUGAAGAAGUAUUUCGGUAUGUAAAGCUCUAUCAGCAGGGAAGAAAAUGACGGUACCUGAUUAAGAAGCCCCGGCUAACUACGUGCCAGCAGCCGCGGUAAUACGUAGGGGGCAAGCGUUAUCCGGAUUUACUGGGUGUAAAGGGAGCGUAGACGGCAGCGCAAGUCUGAAGUGAAAUGCCGGGGCUUAACCCCGGAACCGCUUUGGAAACUGUGCGGCUAGAGUGCAGGAGAGGUAAUUGGAAUUCCUAGUGUAGCGGUGAAAUGCGUAGAUAUUAGGAGGAACACCAGUGGCGAAGGCAGCUUACUGGACUGUAACUGACGUUGAGGCUCGAAAGCGUGGGGAGCGAACAGGAUUAGAUACCCUGGUAGUC